ACGGGUACUCAUACUUUUAUUAAUUUAUUUUUAAAAUUAACCAUACUAUUAUUUUAGUUGUAGGCGAUGUGUUUACUUAUAGGUAGCGAGCUCUGUCUCUCGAAGAUUGCGAGGUAAUCGUCCCAAACUUCUGCACCAAAAGCUUAAUAUAUACACAAUUAAUUCAAGGUAAAUGCUAAAUAAGGCGGAAACCGAAAUUAGAUACUGUUUGGUUCGUGAGGUUAGAUGUCACUGCGAGCUCGCGC
rnacentral:lncRNA from 1 species